rnacentral:rRNA from 1 species
ACAGAGGUGGCGAGCGUUACUCGGAUUUAUUGGGUGUAAAGGGCAAGUAGGCGUCUUAACAAGUUGGAGGUGAAAUCCUGCAGCUCAACUGCAGAACUGCUCCCAAAACUGUUAGGAUUGAGACUGGAAGAGGAAAGCGGAAUUCUCGGUGUAAGAGUGAAAUCUGUAGAUAUCGAGAGGAACACCAGUGGCGAAGGCGGCUUUCUGGUCCAGUACUGACGCUGAAUUGCGAAAGCUAGGGGAGCAAACAG